ensembl:misc_RNA 7SK 7SK RNA
GGAUGUAAGGGCGAUUUGGCUGCCACAUCUGUCACCCCACUGAUCGCCAGGGUUGACUCGGCUGAUCUGGCUGGCUAGAUGGGUGUUCCCUUCCUCCCUAACUGCUCUAUGAAGCUACACAUUCAGUCAACGAGGAAGGCCUUCCCUGAAUAGAGAUGGACUGGUCUUUGGUUGAGGGUGUAUGAAUAACUGUGCUCCCCUGCUAGAAUCUCCAAACAAGUUUUCAAGGUACAGAGAACUGUUCAACUCUAGUUUAUGGUGAUUCUGGGGAUUGAUCCUGGAGCCUCAAGCAUGAAAGCCUUUUUGCAUAACAACCAUGCUAUCUCUCUAGCCUCUUAUGU